GAGUUUGAUCAUGGCUCAGAUUGAACGCUGGCGGCAUGCCUUACACAUGCAAGUCGAACGGCAGCACGGGAGCUUGCUCCUGGUGGCGAGUGGCGAACGGGUGAGUAAUGCAUCGGAACGUAUCCUGGAGUGGGGGAUAACGUAGCGAAAGUUACGCUAAUACCGCAUAUUCUGUGAGCAGGAAAGCGGGGGACCUUCGGGCCUCGCGCUCUUGGAGCGGCCGAUGUCGGAUUAGCUAGUUGGUGAGGUAAAGGCUCACCAAGGCGACGAUCCGUAGCAGGUCUGAGAGGAUGAUCUGCCACACUGGAACUGAGACACGGUCCAGACUCCUACGGAGGCAGCAGUGGGAAUUUUGGACAAUGGGGCAACCCUGAUCCAGCCAUGCCGCGUGAGUGAAGAAGGCC
rnacentral:rRNA from 1 species